AUUGAACGCUGGCGGCAUGCCUUACACAUGCAAGUCGAACGUGAAAGCGGGGCAACCCGCAAGUAGAGUGGCGGACGGGUGAGUAAUACAUCGGAACGUGUCCAGUAAAUGGGGGAUAACCUAGCGAAAGUUAGGCUAAUACCGCAUACGAUCUGCGGAUGAAAGCGGGGAUGCGGCACUAAAGGCUUUUGGCGAAGGUGGCCAAAGGUGAGUCAAGAGC
rnacentral:rRNA from 1 species